UAUGCCUUAGAGAUUGAAAUCCUUUUCCGGACACGGACAGUCGUGUCAUAACUUGAAAACUAUUUUACCGUAAACCCUUUUUCCUUAUAACCUGGAGGACAUAUAAAAUACAAGCACUCGUGGGUCGUAUUCAUACGUAGAAGAGUAACUACAUUAAAGGCCAGUUCUUUCAUGAAUAUAAAAGACUUGCCGAAAUGAUAAAAAUAGCGAUUAUUUUUGUUAUGUUACUGUCUGUUUCCGUACUUAACGUGAGGGCAAACCCAAUACCGGACGAUUGUUCUAAUGUUCCGAUAGGAAGACUUUGUCUAAACAGCCAGGAGUGCAAGACAAAAGUUAGCUGCAAACAUAUACCGUUAUCAUGCGAUCAUGACAGUCACAGGUGCGUAUUGGCGAACAUCGACAGAAUGAAGAUCAAAAAGUAAUGGAUGAUAACAAAGAGUAUUCUGUGUGUAGCUUAUCGCCAUGAUAUUUGUAGCUGAUAGAUCUUAAUUCUAUAAUAGAUUGUGUUUAGUUUAUUAUUGUUCCUAUGAGUUCAAAUGACAGAAUAAAUGCGUGUUUAUUCAGCCAAAUAUACAGUGCACAUAUAAUCUUAAUGCAUUUAAAAUAAAGUACACGCCAAUAAUGGAUAAUGAUAAC